GAUGGUCGGGAGAGGGAUGCAGAAUUCCAGGUGUAGCGGUGAAAUGCGUAGAUAUCUGGAGGAAUACCGGUGGCGAAGGCGGCAUCCUGGACCGAGAUUGACGCUGAUGAGCGAAAGCUAGGGGAGCAAACGGGAUUAGAUACCCCGGUAGUCCUAGCCCUAAACGAUGAAUGCUUGGUGUGGCGGGUAUCGAUCCCUGCCGUGCCGAAGCUAACGCAUUAAGCAUUCCGCCUGGGGAGUACGGUCGCAAGGCUGAAACUCAAAUGAAUUGACGG
rnacentral:rRNA from 1 species